UUAACUCCCCUCCUUCUCGGUGGAAAUCGUAGAAUAAUCAAAUCACAAAAGAUCAGAAACAAUACAAGGACAGAUAACAUGAUCUGACAAGUUUGCUUCAUGCUGACAAAAGGACGAACAUAGAGCUUAACCGAACCUAAUCCUGGAGCAAUAAACCAGAGUCUGAUACAUCAAUAUUUCGGCAAGGGCCUGCCAAAGACGUUGGCGAUCCAUCUCCAAAAU
rnacentral:lncRNA from 1 species